UGAAGCACAAGACCCGAGAUGAAUUUAGAGUAAAAAAAAAAAUCGGAGGAAAAAACGACAAGUCUGACAGUGUCUUUACUCAAUGUUUAAACCGUCGAUUUGCUGUGGGUCCACGAGCCGAGGACUAUGACAGUGCUUUUAUCAUGGGUGUAUUCCAGGCUGUCAGAGGUUUCCGGAAUGCUCCUAAGGGACUGUGGAGUAGGUUAAACGGCAGUGCCAAGCUGGUAAAGGUACGAUCACCACAGAUCGAGGGCACAUCACCCUAAGGGUAUAACAUUUGGCUUAGGCAUUGGGGGAGGUUACAACCCACAAAUUUCACCCAUGCGCCACCGAUCUGUCUCGCCUUUUUGACCCUCGUGCU